rnacentral:lncRNA from 1 species
GGAGACGAAGGAGCCGGAGGGAAUUUGGGUCUGUGUGUCUGGCUCAGACCCUAGGCGCUGAGGGGGGCCGUUGGGCAUCAAGCCAAGGGUCUUUCUUCUCGGCGCCCCUUAUUCCGCGACCUGGCAGGAAUCCGUGGGCCGAAGAGCGCCCCGGCUGAUCCGCCUGCCCCGGGCCGGGCUACAAGGAAAGUCUUGGAGCAGGGGGCCGUCCCGUCCCUGUCUUUAAAAUGAGCGCAAUAAAAGGGGGCAAAUCCUGGAACGCGAACCUGAUCGCAUGUCACAGAAGCAACUUGCCAUGAAAUCCGCUAAUGCGCCGCGACUCGCCCACCAGGCAUGUAGCCACAGCAAAUUAUUGCUCAUUUGAUACCAAGAAUUCUAUUGACCAUCGCUUUCGUUGGAGAGAGAAUUCUAACUACUAGCUGCUCUGUAGUCAGUCAGAGCUGAGGCUGAGAACACUACACAGCUAAAACAAGUAAAUUGAGCCCUCUGCCUCCAGGAAUUGAUGGAGAUGUGUUCAUUACAUUGGGCCACGUGAACAUGCAUAGAAAUCUGCUUUUUGCUCUGCCAGUCGGCAUUGCCCCAGUGCAAUCAAAAGGUCGGCCCCUUUGGAACAGAACUGUCUAAUUGGAGGGCUGGACAUUCGUUUGCCUCUCCUGUAUCCCUUCUGGCAACUUCUUUUCAGUUCUGGCCAGGUUGGGCAAUGAAAUGAUGCAUUAGAAGAUACCAAAUGUGGACACAAUUAUUAAAACCGAGCUUCCUUUAAAGAAAAAAAAAACACUUCCUAAAAUGUCUAGAUGAGUGACUUUAUGUAGUCACUCAUAAUUUCCUAGAUAAAAUUGCUCCAUUCCCAC